rnacentral:rRNA from 1 species
UCGAGUAAGGCGAGGCACGUGAAACCUUGUCUGAAUAUGGGGGGACCAUCCUCCAAGGCUAAAUACUACUGACUGACCGAUAGUGAACCAGUACCGUGAGGGAAAGGCGAAAAGAACCCCGGAGAGGGGAGUGAAAUAGAUCCUGAAACCGUAUGCGUACAAGCAGUAGGAGCAGACUUGUUCUGUGACUGCGUACCUUUUGUAUAAUGGGUCAGCGACUUACAUUCAGUGGCGAGGUUAACCGAAUAGGGGAGCCGUAGAGAAAUCGAGUCCGAACAGGGCGACAGUCGCUGGGUGUAGACCCGAAACCAAGUGAUCUACCCAUGGCCAGGAUGAAGGUGCGGUAACACGCACUGGAGGUCCGAACCGAUUAACGUUGAAAAGUUACCGGAUGAGUUGUGUUUAGGGGUGAAAGGCCAAUCAAGCCGGGAAAUAGCUGGUUCUCCGCGAAAACUAUUGAGGUAGUGCCUCGGAUGGACACCCUAGGGGGUAGAGCACUGGAUGGAU